ACGGAAUAGAUACCCCGGUAGUCCACGCCGUAAACGAUGGAUACUUGUUGUUAGUGGUAUUGACCCCACUAGUGACGUAGCUAAACGCGUUAAAGUAUCCCGCCUGGGGAGUACGGUCGCAAGAUUAAAACUCAAAGAAAUUGACGGGGGCCCGCACAAGCGGUGGAGCAUGUGGUUUAAUUCGAUGCAACGCGAAGAACCUUACCUGGGCUUGACAUGAACUGGAAGAGUGGCGGAGACGUCCUCGCCCGCAAGGGUCGGUUCACAGGUGCUGCAUGGCUGUCGUCAGCUCGUGUCGUGAGAUGUUGGGUUAAGUCCCGCAACGAGCGCAACCCUUACCUUUAGUUGCCAGCAUUUAGUUGGGCACUCUAAAGGGACUGUCUGCGUUAAGCAGGAGGAAGGUGGGGAUGACGUCAAGUCCUCAUGGCCCUUAUGUCCAGGGCUACACACGUGCUACAAUGGUGGUCACAGAGGGAAGCCAAACCGCGAGGUGGAGCUAAUCCCUUAAAAGCCAUCUAAGUUCAGAUUGGUCUCUGCAACUCGAAACC
rnacentral:rRNA from 1 species